ensembl:lncRNA
AAAGCAGGAGAUGAAGCAUCGCUGAAUAUGUUUCCAAACCAACUUCAUUCUAAGCCAAAGACUAGAAAAUAUGGUGAAGCAUAUCUUCCCUUUGGUUUCACCUGCACAAGUGCUGAGCUGGGAAUGUUUGUUUGGGAUCAACAGGCUUGACAAGACAGCAAUCAGAAUCACAAAGCUGGUUUUACACUGCAAUUAAUCCUGAGUGACUGAUCAUCACAGGCCACCUCAUCACAGGCGGUUCAGGAGCAUUCAGACCUGCACUACCAGACACAGAGACAGUUUUUACCCACAAGCCAUCAGACUGAACUGCUGACAUUCUAUACACACCAUUACACACUUACUACCAUUACAGGACUCUACAGACUGUCACUUCAACAUAUGCCACUUAAAAUGCUCAUUGCACAAGUUUUGCACAAAGUUUAAAUACCAACUUGUAUUAAAUUCUCUGAAUAUUUAAUACUUUUGACUCUUUUUUUCUCUUUAUCAUUAUUAUUACUGCUUUUUUCUUUUCUUUUCUUCUUAGUAUAUCUGUACAUUUUGAUAUGCUCAUGUAAAGCUGAGGAGCACGAGCCAAAGAAUGCCAUUAU